rnacentral:rRNA from 1 species
CAGUCGCGUUCUCUGGGAUUCAGCCUCGCUUCUUGCUUGGUGCAUUUCCGCGCAUGGCAGGUCAGCGUCAGUUUUGCGCGGCGUGAAAAGGCUCGGGUAAGGUAGCUCUCUUCGGGGAGUGUUAUAGACCUGGGCAGAUGCGCUGCGCGGGACUGAGGAUUGCAGCGGACACCCC